ACCUAUCUAGCUCAGUCGGUAGAGCAUCAGAUUUCUAAUUUGAGGGUUCUGCAUUCAAAUCCUACCGUGGGUG
rnacentral:tRNA from 1 species